AGUGAACGCUGGCGGUAGGCCUAACACAUGCAAGUCGAACGGCAGCACAGUAAGAGCUUGCUCUUACAGGUGGCGAGUGGCGGACGGGUGAGGAAUACAUCGGAAUCUACUUUUUCGUGGGGGAUAACGUAGGGAAACUUACGCUAAUACCGCAUACGACCUACGGGUGAAAGCAGGGGAUCUUCGGACCUUGCGCGAUUGAAUGAGCCGAUGUCGGAUUAGCUAGUUGGCGGGGUAAAGGCCCACCAAGGCGACGAUCCGUAGCUGGUCUGAGAGGAUGAUCAGCCACACUGGAACUGAGACACGGUCCAGACUCCUACGGGAGGCAGCAGUGGGGAAUAUUGGACAAUGGGCGCAAGCCUGAUCCAGCCAUACCGCGUGGGUGAAGAAGGCCUUCGGGUUGUAAAGCCCUUUUGUUGGAAAAGAAAAGCAGCAGGUUAAUACCCCGCUGUUCUGACGGUACCCAAAGAAUAAGCACCGGCUAACUUCGUG
rnacentral:rRNA from 1 species